CAUUUGCUACCUCCAAUCCCUCCCGCGAAUCACGCCGCACGCUCAUCUGUUUCCCUCUCUCCUCCGUUCCUUCUUCGCAUCUCAUCCCAGCGAUUUCUCUUAUCGCCCUCUCCCCGACGACGGCGCCUCCCCAGACGACGCCCUCCUCCCUCGCGACGCGCCUCCCCCCGUCGCCGCCUCCUCCCUCGCGACGGGCCUCCCCCAGACGCCGCCUCCCCCUGGCGGCAGCACCGCCCUUCCGUCCACGCUGUCCUGCCCCGUGGAGUCGUGGGUGGCCGUCGCCUCCGCCUCCCAGCACCCCCACCUCAUCGCCGCCACCGCCGUCGUCGCCCUCUUCUUCCUGCUCUUCUUCCCCGUCCACCUCGCCCUCCACCUCCCCAGCGUCCCCACCUCCUCGCCGCCCGGCUGCCACGCCAGUGGCCGCUUGCCUCCACGCCCCGCCACCUCCUCCUGCUACUCCGCCGCCGCCGCCGCACCUCCAAACCCCACCCCGUCGGCCUUCCUCCCGAACCUAAAUCCGCGAGCCGUCGCCACCCGUGGCCCACCACCGGCGCCGCCGUCGCGGAUUCCGCGAGGAGCCUUCCUCCUCGCGCCUCCUAGCCAGUCGCGCCGAUUUCGAUUCCCUCGGCUCCGACGACGGCCCUGGACACCUCAGAUGGCAAAUGCCAUUACUUAUGAUUCUAGAUUCUGGAGACCGACCUUCUGGCACUAUUAGGUAAGUUCAAUUCUUUAGCAUAGAGCUAAAUGAAAUCCUAUGGAAUAAAAUCCUCUGUAGUCACUGCUCCUCUUGAAGCGAUUCCAGGAGGAGGGGCUCUCUGCCGGUCGUGGAAGGGGCCACCCCAAGGUGCCGAGUUGUUUGAUCGGCGGUGGCCGAUCUUGGCUCGGAUGGCUUAUUCAGAGUUUUUGGAAGAUCCUUGCAAGCAGUUGAGAUUUCUUUAAAGACGUGAAGGGAGAGGAUGCUGGUGAUCCUUCUGUUUCCUAUGGUGAUAUAUAGCACAACAGGGAACACACCUAAGAUCAGUUCAUUUGACAAACUAUACUAUAUAGCACAACAGGGAACACACCUAAGAUCAGUUCAUUUGACAAACUAUACAUAGUGUUGAUCAGGUAAACAUCAAGGAGAUAAGGAAGCAAUGAGGAGAUGUUGCUCCAGGAUAGGUGAUCAAUUCCCAUGGCUUUAUCUGAGAUGGUUGCUCCAGAAGCUUUUUAAUUAGCGGCACAACAAGGAACAUGGCAUUGCAUCUCAUAUCACGCUGAGGCACUAGCAAGGGGAAUUGUUCUUGUCGGUGCCGAACUGCCGAUGAGGAGAUCCUCGCACCUGUUCUGCCACUGCACUGUAGCCUAUGUUGAUCUUUGGUGUUGUUUCCCCUAGCUGCAGGUAUGUUAUGAAGAGUAUCGAGGAUCUUCUCCUGAUGUGUAGACUGUAGAAACAGUUUGACAGGCUCACUAUUAUCGCCAUUCUUAUAUCAAGUUGGAUAUAUUCAUAUAUCAUUUUUAGAAUACUGUAUGUUAAGGUGUCUAGGCUAGAUAAAGUUUGAGAAGGUUGGGAAUGUGUUUUAAAAUUACAACCUACUGCAAUAUGAUCUUUUAAAUAUUAAGAUGUCUUAUAUGAUUGUAGUUAAUAGGUUCAACCAUAUCAAGCUGACAAGAUAAACAGGAAUCUUGAGUAACUUAUUCAACCCCUAGGGUGGCACUGGAAACGACAACGAUGCAGCACAAGAUGCUUGCCCAAAUGUUGCUGGAAGGGGCACAUUUAAGGAAUCAAGUUGCAGCUGAAACACUUUAGUUUGACAAAAAGUGAGACCGAGCUUCAGUUGUUAUGACGAUGGGUCCUUUUUCAGAGAACCAGUGCUGGUAGUAUUGCUCUUUGUUUAUAGCAAUUAAUCUGAUGUUGUUAGUAACACAUGAACUGGAUCACUAAUCAGUUAAUGAUGAAAUCUAAUGCAUUAGGAAUGUUCAUUAGAACAAAUCUAACCGCUUGACAACCCCAUUAGUAGUUGUCAUGGUCCAAAUCAGUGCUUUUACUCAAAUAUUUCAUGUUCAUUCUCAUGAACCUGAUGUCGACAGGUUGGUUUUAAAUUACUGGUGCAUUACAUCUUUAGCUCUGCAAAUGGUCUCACUCAUAAUGUCCCACCAAAUUGUAUUACAUGUGGUCAUAUUGUAAUCUACAUGUGGUCAUAUUGUAAUCUUCUUGCUUGUCAUGUUUGUUGUAUAUUCUACACAGUUUGCUAUUGAUUAUAUGAAUCUCACCAAAGGUAAUGUUGUAACUGCUACGAAAUGAUUUUAAUUUUGGCUUCUCUAAAUUUCUAGGCAAUUGGUGUGUUCUACAAUUUUUUACAAGCUGAUGUGUGCUACGAAGAGUGCAUAUAUCUCCCUCAACACCAGUUUCUUCGAGGGAGGGCCUUCUGGAACCGGCGCUGCUCCCUUGCUUGCUGUAGUUUGGUGAAACGGAUUCAUUAUUGUCCCAUGGCAGUGGUUCAGGCUGCAGAGACAUUGAUAUAGCAUUAUCUCUAUACUAAAAAGAGGCUAAGGGUGACGUUUUUCUUGGUGUUUCGUCCGUUUCGUCUGUCGCCCCAACUACGUCCUCGGGAAAACGGGGACCCUCUUAUCGCUCUUGCUCGCUCAUCUAAUCGCUACAUUACACUAUUGUGUGGACACAUCACCCUUCCUUGUAGUAAUUUAGGUUUUCAAAGCUUGUCAGUAGCAAUUGAGGUCGAAUGGAUGUAUCCACUUGAAAAGCUGAUGGAAGAAGAGGCUGGCAGUACCAUUUUAUCAUGCUCCAGCAGACUGUCGCAAGUGACGAUUUAGAACUUGAGACAUGCAGGCAGGCAGGCUGCUUCAAAGUUGGACUUCUCCUAAACCAGUCUUAAUUGAAUGGCGAGCAAUCAAGUUACUUCUGAUAAGGUUGAUGAGUUAAAAGCUUAAAAAAUUAUUGCAGCUGCACCCCUAUAUAUAUGUAGUACCUAAAUAAUAUUUUGAGUCAAUGCGUCCAAUUAAUGCCCAGGUAUUUCAUUUGUAAAGAACUUUUUAUGAUGUAUCAUGUUUGCAUUCAAAAGGAUGCACUCUGCAAUGAAAUACGUGUAUGAGUAUGAUAAACAGCAAGAGCCUUUCUGAAA